UAGGAAAUCUUCGGCAAUGGACGAAAGUCUGACCGAGCAACGCCGCGUGAGUGAAGAAGGUUUUCGGAUCGUAAAACUCUGUUGGUAGAGAAGAACGUUGGUGAGAGUGGAAAGCUCAUCAAGUGACGGUAACUACCCAGAAAGGGACGGCUAACUACGUGCCAA
rnacentral:rRNA from 1 species